CAAAUCCAAGCCUAACUCCCCCUGCUCCGUGUGUCGGGAGCCGGGGCAGGAUGGUGUGGGCAGCUCCAACCUCCCCUGAGCGGCCCCGCACUCCUGCAGCCCUUCCCGCACAUAAACAAGUGUCAAAGACCUGUCUGCUCGCUGUGCCCUGCGAGAGCGCUGCCCUGCACCGAGCAUCCCCCUCCUCCUUCACUUUCCCUGCCAUCCCUCUGGCAGCAGGUUUUGUCUUUUUUUAAAAAACCCAGGUGCCAAACCUGUGUGAAAUUACUGAUAUUCACUGAAAUCUGGCUGAGAAGCACUCAGUACGGGAGGUCACGGUCAGUUUUGUGGCACCAUCACCCCCCAGCCGCUGCCUCACCUGCAGGUGGCUGGGGCUGCUCACCGACACAGAAGGGCUGUUAAAGGCGUGUUGAGCUUCAUUUACUCAAGGGUAGAAUUAAUUUGUUUGAACUAUUUAUUUCAGAUAAAAUAAUCCCUUUAAAGGCUGCUGCUACUCUGUCAUUUUAGGCAUGUCCAUGUCCACCUGCCUUCACUUUGCUUUGGUCUGUGUGGAACUGCAGAAUGUGACAAAAUGGCAUUUGCAAAAAGAACAAGUAAACACAGGCUUAAUGAACUCACUUAUUUUGCUUCCUGUACUUAUGACUCAUAAAAUGAAAAUCCUUUAAUGUUGUAACCCAAAUAAAUUGCCAUGUUGGUUGCCUCUCGACUGUACUGCAAGUAGGGAACAAGAAGGGCUGAGAGUGAGGGAUCAGGAAAAGGUAAGGAUGUGCUCAGCUCUGAUUAAGUAACAUUAUCCUGCUUCUUUUGCUUUUGAAGGGUGGAAAAGCAAGAGGUGAUGUCUAAUCCUCCCGGGCAGCAAACAAUGGGUGGGGAACGCUGAGCUGGGUGCAGCACUUGGCAGUCUUUGGGGUGCAGUGAUGAGGUGCCAGUGCUUGAUGGUAUGGAUAGAAGGGGACACGCCUCAGCCUUGUGACACGUGGGGUUAAUGGGGCAGAGCCACACCAUGUCCCUCUGAGGGGACCUGGGUGGCACUGCCACAGCAGUGUCACAUCCCAGCUCUGGGCAGGAGAGGCGUGUGCUCAUCGAUGAUGUGCUCAUUGCAUCACCUCCUGACUUGGAACAUUUUUUUAAAAAGCUGUUUCACAUAUGAAAUCCUGGGAAAGGUGAGGGCAGGAACGGGUAUUUCCACUUUUGCUCCUGGUUGUGGGCUGUGCAAGUGAUGUGAUGUGUUUGAAACCCAGAUGUUAACAUGGUCACUGUAUAAAUACAUCAAUAAAUUCGUCCAGGCUCUUGUCCAUUCACACUGACUGGACUGUGGCCAUCUAAGAAACCACCUGAAAAAUAAAGACCCAUUCUGUUAGUCAAAGGGACUCUCACAACGUCAGGUGGCACUUGCAGGGAAAUUGUCCAUCAGCUCUGCCAUGUUAGAUUAAAAGGAAGCACUAAAUUGCCUCAUGUUUUGAAGUAUUUUAUAUUUUAUUUCACGCUAUAAUUUUUUUUAACAGCCAAAUAAGAUUUAGUUUCUCAAGCAAGGGAAAAUGUGCCGGAGAGUGUAUUGAACUCAAGUUUCUGGCUCAGCGAGGGGAGGUGACCUGAGCUCAGUGCAGGAAAGAAGCUGUUGCUGUGGGAUUGCACCCAAGGAGCUGUGGGCCAGCCUGGAGAGUGCUGCCUUUAUGUCACACCCAGGGGACAGUGAUGAGUGAGAGGCCAAGGCUGGCUAUAAAAAGACCUUGCAGCAACUGGUUAAAGCACAUCUUGGCACUAUUAAUGGAUACAGAAGGGACAUGGGUCAAGAAGCUCUUUGCCAAAAUAACCUUCAUUGCACUGUAAUGUCAGAGACAAGGGAAGAGCUCCAUGAACUCAAGAACAUUUCAUUAAUAAUUAUUAGUACAAUAUUAAUAAACUAUUAUUUACAUUAUUUAUAUUAAAUAAUUUAAGUAUUUCUAUUAAAUAAUUUAUUUAUAUAUUUAUGUUAAAUAUUUCUAUUAUUAAUUUAAUUUAUUAUUUAUUUAUUAGUUCAAUGAGGCAUCUGUUUCUCCCUUUUCUCAUCUGGGAAGAGAAACAGAUGACCCAAAAUGCCAGUGCUUUUUCACCAGCUUUUUUUCAAAGGCAUUUCAAAUUCCUGCAGUCAGAGGAAUUGCUGAGGACAUGUCCCCUGUGGUUCACUACUAAUAUAUAGACAGGUUGGGUUUGUGGGUUUUUUUUGUUUUUGUUUUUUUGUUUGUUUGUGGUUUGUUUUGUUUUGUUUUGUUUUGUUUGUUUUUUGUUGUUGUUGUUGUUAUUGUUUGUUUGGGUUUUUUGUGGGUUUUUUUUCAUGAAGCUAUGCUGGCAGUCUGGAAAUUUGUGAGGAGGGUAAUGGAAUAUUGCAACAGCCCAGGAAACUGCAUAUUGUACUAGUAGAAAAAAAAUAGGAAGAGCAGAAACAAAGUUUCCUCCUCCUUUAGGCACAAAAUACACAAACAAAAGAUUUUGAAGAUGUACAGAUUGGCAUAGCAGAGGAGUUAGCACAUAAUCAAGGACAUUUUUAAAACCUGCUGAAAUGCCAUGAAAAUUCAGGGCUAUAAACACGUGGGAUGCUCCAAGUCUGAAUUGGAAUAUUCAGCACAUUCGUCACUGGGCUGGAAAAUGUUGCUGCUCUUCCAAUUUCAGGGGUUGAAGGACAACAGAAGCAUCUCAAACUCUGCUGAUUGCAGGGGUGUGUUUGGUUGGUUGGUUUUUUGGGGUUUGGUUGGGGUUUUUUUGGAUGUUAUUUUUAAUUACAGCAGAGUCAUUUUUUGGAGCCUGGUGUAAGGGCUGAGGCAGAAGCAGAGACACGAGACUACCAGAAAGAUGGCAAGGACAAUAUACAGGAUGAAUCAUUAAAUAAAAAUGUUCUUCCUUGUUGGAGAUGGGCAUAAAGAAAUAUUAGCCAGCAAGUGAAGGAAUAUCAGCCAAGAGAACACGGGGAGCUGGUGGAGGGGGAAGAUGCUCAGGGGGUGGGCACCUCCCUUCAGGGCCCCACACUCAGCUGAGCUCUGCUCCUAUAAAAAAUCACUACAAAGUCAGACUGGCAAUGGUUAAAUGAACUAAUUUCCAGCCUUGGUUCACUCUGAUCCCACUGCUGAGUCACAGAACUCCUGCACGGUCCCUGCUUCUCCCACUUCCCUGGACACUCACCCAGGGCCCAUCUCCUCAUCAGAAACCAGGCACUGUGCUGUGGCAGAGCUGAGAAACUGCAGAGAAAAGACAUUUCCAUCAUGCCCUCCUAAUAUUUCAUUUGCCUUGGAAUGAAUUUCCUCUGCUCAUCUUGUUAAAGACAGAUUAUUUUUGCUUUGCUCAUUACACAGACCUGUCUAAAGCACUGUGUCCAAGGAUGAAAAAUAAAUGAAAGCUCCAGUGGUGCCGUUACCCAGCAGAGCUGAUGGAUUGCACUCUCCUGUGGCUGCUUUCAGCUGCUGUGUCUCGUGAACCAUGCUGCUAAUUUCACAUCUCAGUUACUGCAAAAAUGCUAAAUAAAGGUUUUGUUGUUGUUUUUUUUUUCCAUUUUAUCCCUAAAAAUGUGUGAUUAUUCACAUGGCAAAAAUGAUAAAUCUAAAGAUUUGAAAAAGUGAAGAAGUGAUGGCUUCAAGUCAGCAUCAUGCACACACAACUUUCAUUUAAGUCUUGCUUAGCUGAGGAAGUACUUCCAGCAGAAAUAUUAAUUUAAGAUUUUCCUAACUUUCAUGACCAGCCUCAUCCUGAAGUUGAUUUACUUUUGCUGAGUAAUACAGGAUUUGUCUUUAAUUCUUGAAAUAAUAGGAAACAGAAAGAAGGCUUACUUAAAAAAACUACACCUAAAAUGAAUUUUUUGUGUGGUUCAGAUAUUUCUAUUAAAUUGGUUGUGCUAUGUUCCCUUCCAGGAAUUUUACAUCAACAAAAUAUGGCACCAAAAUCACUAAGCAGGGUAAAAAUCCAGAAAGAUUCCUUUGGAAAAGGUGUAUUUAAUGCAGCUGUAACACAGGGUGGAGAUGAAUAAAACACUACACAACUAUUAAAAUAAAUAUAUGCUAAAAUACCAUACCUGUUUUUAUGAAACUCUGAAUCAAAAUCAAUCAUUAAGGCCAACUGGAAAAAAACAAAGUUAAAUAGAAUUCAUUGAUUGUUAAGUCAACAAAAAUCUGAAGAAAGAUACAGAUAAAACAUUUGAAGAUCUUUAUUUUGUUUUUCUGUCCUUUUAAUCUUGCAUUUCUUUAUUUCAACAAAAAAAAAAAAAAAGGCAAAAAUUCUUGGGAAAGAACCUGUUUUUAAAAAGUUGCUAUCUAGAAGAGCUUGAGAAGUUGUUUAUUGCAUGACGACUCAUUCCCACAAUCUGUGAGUGCACUGCCACGUGCAAACCUCUUGUCUUCUCAAAAUCUGCUAAAGUUCUACAAAUCCUAAUUUCUAAACCAGGAAUAGAAGCAUCAGUGAAGAACAGCUCUGCAAAUUCUUCUACUUCCACUAGAGGAUGUUUCACUGGUCACCUUCAAAGGGCUCCCACAGCUCAGAGUGGCACAGAGGAUGAUGGUAAGUGGGUACUUACCUACCAAAAAAAAAAAUUGGUGAAGAUGCGCAUCCUGAAAUUACAGCCCUCCAGAAAGAGGUCAUAGUUGACUAUUCCCACAAAAUAAUUCAAGAAUGUCCUAAAAUUUGUAGAAAACAGAAGCAAACAUAGUGUUUAGUUUAACUGACAGCUGAGCAUUAGCUUGGCCAGGCUUUCCAGAACACACUACAAUCUCCUGGAAAGGCUGGAAAUGCACCAAGUUCAGGGCACAAUGGAAUAUCCACAGGUGAUUGUCAAAGUGUAACUGCAAUUCAAACACUGGGAAGGUCACGUGUGGCAAAGGAUCCUUCAGGGCUGGAAACUGAGACACACAAACAGAGGACAAGGAGUAACUGGGCAGUACUUACUCGGUGCUGGGCUGAGGGGUCCGGGGCUCCCUGCCCGUGGCCACGAGGCACUGCCAGCUCCUGGGGGUUCCACGGAGCAGCCCAGGACUUGACCCUGGAAAGGACAAACGGGGCCCUGCCCAGGCAGGGCACAAGUGCCCUGGACAGGAGCUCCUGAGGCUGCCUGGGGUCAGCUGGACACACAGCCCCUGGGACAGAAGGUCUCAAAGCUGCCAGCACUCUCCGGGGCUCGAGGGUUUAGGAAUUGUCCACCAGGACCUCUGCCGUGCUUCCCUGUCUGCACAUUUGGGUGCUGGAGUCACUCUCUCCCUGUCUGCACAUCUGGCUGUUGGAUUCAUUGCUCUUUAGUGACUCUAGAACUCAAUUUAUUUCAGCACUACCCCACCAAGCUGAGUGAGGACGGGUCACAGACUCCACUCACCACCUCCUCCACCUGAUCCUCAGUUCCUGGCCCCUCUGAAGUGAGCAGCACAAAUCCCACUGCCUCAGCAGGGCCAGGAUACCAUUGGAAGGAAUUUCCUUCAUUUCAAAUAUGAAGAGUUGAAGCUCUUGGAUUGCAUUAAAUGAGAAACAAAGAGUUUUAAAUGAUUUAUUUGAUUUCUCCACAUGAUCACAGUUAUAGUUUUACAUCAAUAGGGUCUGUUACUACUUACAAACAGAAUGCAUAUUAAAAUGAAAGCACUCCUUUCUUCCCCAGAGUUACAAAAGGGGUCUCGAGCCUCCCCAGAACAGAAGCUUCUUGUAAGCAUAAUGAUUUUUGAAGUCUUUAAGAGUCUGCAUUCAAGACCUAAUUCUAACAGUUUAAUACAACUCAAAGCUGAUUUAAGUUCCUAGCAGGAGAUAGGCAACCUCAAAGUGACUGCAGACUUAUAGUAAUGCUAAUUUACACACUAUGUACAAUUUAGAUAAUUCUCUCUUCCCCCUACUGGUCCCAUUUGCACCACCCCCUUUUCUCUUUUCCAAAUUGAAUCUUGUUAUUGGUUCCACUUUUCUUUGAAAUAUAUACACGAGAAUCCAUUUUUCAGUCAAGAAGUGCGAUGGUAUUUUACAAGGGAACAGCAAAAUGCAUGCUUAACUGCAGAAAACACACAGCUUCAUAUGGAACAGCAAGUCAACAUCUAGAGAUUCAGUGUUUAAAUAUCUGCUGACUGUCUUUCAGCUCAUUUUAUCAAGAAACAAGAGGCUUCUGCUGCAUGCAGUACAUGAUGGGAAAAUCAUUCUACACUGUAUGUUAGACUCUUUUUUUUAGCAAUACAAGGCGCACAUUAUAUUAGGAUGAACUUUGUUUCUUUACAUUGUUUUACAUUUCAUUCUUAACUUAAAAGAAUAAAAACCCCAAAUAUAUAUUUGAUUGUUGUCCCAGAAAAGAUUUUUUUUGUUGUUGCCACACCUUCAUUCUUUACAUUUCCCUUUCAUUUGUCCAAAUCAGCAUUACUGCUUUGCCACAUCGUUUAUGGGAAGAGAGAAUCACGGUCAGUCUAUGCAGUUCUGUACCAGUUUGUAAUUGGCAAUGGUAUCUGAUAAAAAACCCUCUCCAUUCUACUCCUGUCUGCAGGCUGAAGAAUUCAUUUUAAUUCAUUUUCUUAACCCCAGGCAGUGUUAAGUGCUGGAAUUCUCCUAUUCUAGGCACGACCCACACUGCUCUAAGCAACUGUUGAUCAAGGAUGGAGUCAGAGAGGUUUUACUAUGACCCUAUACAAGCAGCAAAGGUCUGGAGACUUGUGCUGACACCAAGACACUUUUGUUUGGUUGGAGUACAUAGAAACACAUAGUCUAAGAAACAAAACAGAACAAAACUAGGAAAAAAAAAAAAAGUAAAGUCCACUGUUUCUCCUCCUUGGCUUGAAAGAGCAAGAACAGAGUUUCCAAAUCCCGUGCUCUCAGGUUACCAGUUUUGGUUUCUAACCAGCCUCCAAGUGAUCUGUGAUUUCACACUCCCUGCAGGCCCAGGGCAGGCACAUUCUCCUCCCCAGUGUCCAUGGAACCAUGUGGAAAUGUUUCUGUGCAUGCACGUUUGUGACAUCUCCUCAACACUUUGGUUCACAAAUACAUUGACUGCACAUGGAAAAUCAGUGGGCAGGCAUUAAACUGUGGCUCACUGUUUAAGCACAGAAUAUAUGUAACUCUAAUUUAAAUGAAUGAAAGGGUUUUUUAAACACAAAGCAAAUGCAGAUCUGGGAGAUUUAACACCUUCAGCGUUAAUCAACACAGUGAGUCAGAUUUUCCUCUCCACUGCUACUGCAUAUUCUGCCUUUAUUCCAUCUACAGAAUUUUACUUCCAUUAUGCCUCUGCAUCUGAAACAAGUACAGACUCCAUCACCCAGUGAAGAGGAGCUUUCUUACCUCUGUUUUAAUUAAAAGAUGCAGUUUCUCAGAGAUGUUUGCACCUAAAUGGUUCUUCAUCUUUUCUGGAACAACCUAUAAAUUACAGUUAGACUCUACUAUUGGUACAGAUGUAUGAAGAAAAGUCUACAUAUUGAAACAUGUUAUCACUUUACUUCAACUAAUAUCAACAGUAACACUGAUAUAUUUUGCAAUUAUACAAUAUGUAGAGUGUAGCCUCACACUAAUAACAUUAGAUGACAUGCAGACAGUUCUACUUUCCCUUAUAAGAACAGUAUAUAUUUUUUAAACUGCAAGGAACAGAGCCUCAGGGGACCCAGGUGAGCCCUCUUAAGGUAAGCCGCAGAAUUUAGAAUAGAAUGAGUGACACAGAAAAAGAAUAAUAAUCACUUGUUUUCUUUUCAUGGAGAUCAUUCUGAGGAGAAGGAGCAGAAGGGGAAAACAUAUUGCACAUGUGUGAAACAAACGUGGACUGCUGGAAACAAAAGGCUAAACUCUAGAUUGCUGUAUUUGCUCUCUGUGGAGGUGAACAAAGUGCUCAGUUUGCAGUUC